rnacentral:sRNA from 1 species
AAAAGUUCCUUAUAAGCUUCAUAUUUGCACUCGCUACA